UAGGAGGGAGAAACAGCAAGUGUGGAGGGAGCGGCAGCUGGCAUGCAGGACCUGUAAGCUGUGCAUGCCUGUGGCUUCGUGUGUCACUAGGAAGGCGCAGCAAAGAAGCAGGAUCAACUGGGAAUGGAGAUCUGUCCUAGGCACCGUGUGGGUGAGGAGAAGGAGACAGUCCACACCCUGAAUUGCUUAGAGUCAAAACAGACAAGACAGCCAAAAAAUAGGGAAAGGAGAUGAAACACAGAAAUUCCAUGGCAGCAACCACGAUGGUACUUUCACAGCCCUGGUUUCACUGGGGCAGGGACAGGAAUGUGGACCAGAUUUUGUCUUUCCUCUGUCAGAGCAAGAGCCCGGGGGAUGAACAUCUGACCUAAGCAAGAUAUCUACAAAUGCUGUCAUCUGCAUCAGUUGUUUUAACUCACUUCAGAAUUAAUGGUGAAGAACAGGCAAUUCCAGAACCUGAUUUCCCUCAUCCAUAAGUAGACUUCUAAAAGAGGUCAUCUCCACUGUCCCCUCAAAAGCAGGAAAGGGCUACUUCCUACACUGACUGAAAAAAUGGAGAACACGAAGACUAGUUAAGAGAUAAGAGAGGAGAUAAUAGUAAAGACAUUAGAUAUUUAAAUUUCAGCUAUAAGACAGAGGCAUGGUGUCUUGAAAAAUAAUUUUCUUCCAUGUUUCAGAAGCAGAAAUAUUUUGUCCCUGACACUGUGUUGCUGUUAUAUUUUUUUUCCCCUGUAAUAUAAAAUAACUCCACAGCAUUAAAAUAAGUCCUUUUGUUUUUCUCAGGGAGAACAACUUUUAGGAUUACAAAACGGAGAUGAAAAGGAAUCCAAAACCUGGAGUAAAUAUGUCUUAAUGAUAUAAUAGGGCUUAGCAGAGAAAUAACAUGAUCUAAAGAACACCUAAUGACAAUCAAAUCCAUGCUUGCAGCAUUUUAUUCAUAUAUCUGCUUGGCUGAGAGAGAAAACACAAUUGGUGAAGAAUCUGAGCCCCAUGAAAAACAAAAGGAUUUUUUGUUUUUCAUUGCCUUUUGUGGAAAUUGGAUUAGAUUCUUGUUGCUCAUAACAAAACAUCUGGUUUAUUAGAGUAUCAGCUAAUGAAAAGAGAAAUACAAUGUGAAGACACAUACAUUUGGUAAAACUGAAAGAUCUUUACCCUUUUGCUUCAUCCUCAGGGUCUUAAUUUUGAAUAACAUUUAAAAAUUUAAAUUUAACAUUUUUAAAUAAGGUUUAAAAAUUUUAAACUAAUCUGCAAGCAAUUAUAAUUCCCCAGGCAACUGCCAUGUUGCAAGCUUUGACCACUAAAUAAGUCUCAGAGGGCAGAAGAAGGGUAAAAGCAGAUAACCUGAGUGAAUGACCAAUCUCUGCUUAUUUAUCAAGAAUCAGAGAAAACAUUUCUUGGACCAUGUACAUGUUGGACUUUGUGCAUACUUACUACCUAUCUUAAUGCAGUUAUUAUAUACAAGGUCAUGAUGGUAUUAAAUGUGAAUUACUAUGGUACCACACCCAGGUGAUAUCUCCGGCAUUUAAAGGUCUGGAAAUAAUCUGCUGCUUAUCAGAGUUUAGAGCAGGGCUGGACACUGAACUGAAGGAGGAUGUGGGGAGCUGCAGGAUAUGAACAUGAGCCAGCAGUGUGUGCUCACA